UUGCUAUCUGCGAUAUGGAAGAUUCGAACCUGCCGCAGGUUCGGGUCGAACGCAGUGAGACAACGGAGCCGUUUACGGCGACGGCCCGGAGGGCGAGCGAAGCGAGUCAUCCUGCACGACCCACCA
rnacentral:sRNA from 1 species